CUUCUGCAGGCUGCAGAUUUGCCUCUGGAGCUUGAGAUUGUGCUCCUGGAGCUGCCCGAUCUUCUCGAUGAGCUGGCAGAUGUGCUCCAGCACUCUUAUCACUGAACCCAUAAAGACCCUUCCCCUUCGGAAAGAUAAAGACAUUAGCUAUAGAGGGUCUCAAUGCACAGCCAUCAGAGUCAAAGUUUGACCAGAUCCAUCUAUCACUUAUGUGGCAGUAUGUAUGCCAGGUUGGAGUAGAAAAAAGCAGAGUUGAAGGACAAUUAGCCAUUUCAAAUUAUAGUACAAUGAGGAGGUAAAUAAUAAAAACAAAUACUGUCUUAAAGGAUUCUUUGUAUUUUGACUGGGCUAGUUCCCUGCUAUGGCUCAGAAAUGAAGGGCUUUGUUUUUCAUUAUUUAUUGAAGUGUGCAUGGCAGUGCAGAUUUGAAACACGCAGAUGUUCUUAUUUAGGAAAUAAAGAGGAAAUUUUAAGCAAAUAUUUACACAAUCACCACAUUCCAAAGAGUUCCAAACAAAAGCUGGAAGUGAUCUCAGGUUGGGUUUCCCAGAGCCCUUUUCCGUGUCACGGGUACUGUGUGACUGCCUGUUGUUCCAGUCUGGGGGACCAGCUAGUGGAAAUGAGCCCUAAACAAUAGGAGUGAUACCAUGAUGGAAUGUCUAAAACGAAUAUGGAACAACAUUACGCAUUUCCUUUUAAAUAUACAGUAGUGUCAUUUGGUCACACAGGUUAAAUACCAUACUGUAUGGUCUGAACAAGAUUAAUUAUAAUUGCAACAACAAUCCUCUUCUUUUCCUUCUCACUCCCUUUUCCGUCUUAGAUUUAUUCCUCACAAAACCUGCAAGGUGAGAACUACUGUAAUGGUAACAAAUUCUUGAGUGAACUGGAUUCCAGAAAAAAUAUGUAAGAUGUCUAUACCAGUCGAGGUGACUUCAACACACAUUCUAACUAAUUAGAUGUCUCACCUUCACAUUUACAAGCCUUGGAUGAUCAAGGCAACCAAGAAUCCUGAAUCUUGUUGGUGUACACACAUUACCUUUUGAAAUAGGAUUUGAAAUAUAUGUUCCAAAUCCAUUGAAUGCCAUACCCAAUACCUUUGGUACAAUUGAAUGUCAUGUAUUGCAAUACGCACACACUUUAUUACUUAAUAAACUAAAGUUGUAUUCGUUAUGAUUCAAGGAAUACUAUUCAUUCUGCUUCUGGGUAUCUGAUCUCACUAUUAUUUUCUUUAGAGACACUAGGAUCAUUCCUAUUCUUCACACAGUCGCAAAAGUGUUUGAACACCUAGCCUGCAGAAUUUCAUCUGUGAAUGUUUAUAAAAUUCAGAUUUGACUGUUAUGGGGGUACCUUUUUCUGGAAAUUAUCAGUCUGCUGACAUUACUAUACUACAUAUUUUCAGAAAAUCUGUCUUUUCUGGAAAGUAUCAGUCUGCUGACAUUAUUAAUCACUCAGAGGAUAGGAAUCGCAUACCUUCUUUGUAAAGCAAAUGUGAGGCAGUGAGAAUUUAUGGGAGGUUUAUUUAGAUCCAAGGCAAAUUCUUGAGGGGUGAAGCACAUAGGCGUGAAGCGUGAGAAUGUUCAAUUGGUAGAUAUUAGACGGCAAUGACAGUUUCCUGGAUGUGAUGUGAGAGCAGACUGAUCUUAUCAGAGCCCUCUGUUGAUCCCCCAACAAUCUGAGCGAAGAAAAGGAGUCUAGAAACACUCUUCCCUUCUUCCACAUUUCCAACCCCUCUCCAAUUACUCUCAAAGUUUUGUGAGGAAAACAUACUGUACACAGCUCUGCCUUAUUUAAAUUUCAAAAUUUGCUUAUACUGUAGAUGUAGACAUUCCUAUGAGCUUACAGCAGCAAUUGUCAACUCUGUCCUUACAUCCAAUUAAUAUUAAGCAUUAAUAUUACUGUAAGAAAUCUUAAGAACGUAAGAUAAGUUACAGACAAGAGGAGGCCAUUCAGCCCAUUUGGUAGUUAGUAGCCAACAGAUGCAAGGAUCUCAUUCAGUCGUAUCUUGGAAAGAAGUGGAUAUCAGCUUCGACAAAAUGGCUGGGUAGCUUGUUUCACACUCCCUCCGGCCACCCUUUGGGUAACAAGUGCUUCCUGUUUUCAGUUUUAAAUGCACAUCUGUCUCUGGUUCAUGUUUCAGGGUUUAUUCUCAAGAAAUCCACAGAACCAAUGGGAGAAGAAGUAUGUUCCAACUAAUCAAACAAGUAACUGAGAGCACUGAUGGAAUAAAAAGAACGGAAGCUUUCAUGCUAUGAAGGAUUGAAUUGAACUUGUUUGGAGAUUAAAACUUUAAUUUACAACUCAGAUAAUAUUACCACAGGGGUCAUGAGUGUGUUUUUCUUUAAUACUGAUGGCUUAUUUUGCUACGUAAGACAUGAAAAAUGUCUCUGAGGAAAGAUUUUUAAAAUGC